rnacentral:rRNA from 1 species
AUUGAACGCUGGCGGCAUGCCUUACACAUGCAAGUCGAACGGAUUUUGGGGCUUGCUCCAAAGUUAGUGGCGAACGGGUGAGUAAUGCAUCGGAACGUACCCAGUCGUGGGGGAUAACGUAGCGAAAGUUACGCUAAUACCGCAUACGAUCUGAGUAUGAAAGCGGGGGACCUUCGGGCCUCGCGCGAUUGGAGCGGCCGAUGUCGGAUUAGCUAGUUGGUGAGGUAAAGGCUCACCAAGGCGACGAUCCGUAGCUGGUCUGAGAGGACGACCAGCCACACUGGGACUGAGACACGGCCCAGACUCCUACGGGAGGCAGCAGUGGGGAAUUUUGGACAAUGGGCGAAAGCCUGAUCCAGCCAUGCCGCGUGAGUGAAGAAGGCCUUCGGGUUGUAAAGCUCUUUCAGACGGAAAGAAAUCUUUCGGGUGAAUAUCCCGGAAGGAUGACGGUACCGUAAGAAGAAGCACCGGCUAACUACGUGCCAGCAGCCGCAGUAAGAC